GGAGAGAUGAUAAGGAGAGAUAUGAGGGGAUAAGGAGAGAUGAUAAGGAGAGAUAUGGGAGAGAUAUGAGGGGUUAGUUUAUCACCCCUAGGAUAGUAAAGGAGAGAUAUGAGAGGUUAGUUUAUCACUCCUAGGAUAGUAAAGGAGAGAUAUGAGAGGUUAGUUUAUCACCCCUAGGAUAGUAAAGGAGAGAUAUGAGAGGUUAGUUUAUCACUCCUAGGAUAGUAAAGGAGAGAUAUGAGAGGUUAGUUUAUCACUCCUAGGAUAGUAAAGGAGAGAUAUGAGAGGUUAGUUUAUCACUCCUAGGAUAGUAAAGGAGAGAUAUGAGAGGUUAGUUUAUCACUCCUAGGAUAGUAAAGGAGAGAUAUGAGAGGUUAGUUUAUCACUCCUAGGAUAGUAAAGGAGAGAUAUGAGAGGUUAGUUUAUCACUCCUAGGAUAGUAAAGGAGAGAUAUGAGAGGUUAGUUUAUCACUCCUAGGAUAGUAAAGGAGAGAUAUGAGAGGUUAGUUUAUCACCCUAGGAUAGUAAAGGAGAGAUAUGAGAGGUUAGUUUAUCACUCCUAGGAUAGUAAAGGAGAGAUAUGAGAGGUUAGUUUAUCACUCCUAGGAUAGUAAAGGAGAGAUAUGAGAGGUUAGUUUAUCACUCCUAGGAUAGUAAAGGAGAGAUAUGAGAGGUUAGUUUAUCACCCCUAGGAUAGUAAAGGAGAGAUAUGAGAGGUUAGUUUAUCACUCCUAGGAUAGUAAAGGAGAGAUAUGAGAGGUUAGUUUAUCACCCCUAGGAUAGUAAAGGAGAGAUAUGAGAGGUUAGUUUAUCACUCCUAGGAUAGUAAAGGAGAGAUAUGAGAGGUUAGUUUAUCACUCCUAGGAUAGUAAAGGAGAGAUAUGAGAGGUUAGUUUAUCACUCCUAGGAUAGUAAAGGAGAGAUAUGAGAGGUUAGUUUAUCACUCCUAGGAUAGUAAAGGAGAGAUAUGAGAGGUUAGUUUAUCACUCCUAGGAUAGUAAAGGAGAGAUAUGAGAGGUUAGUUUAUCACUCCUAGGAUAGUAAAGGAGAGAUAUGAGAGGUUAGUUUAUCACUCCUAGGAUAGUAAAGGAGAGAUAUGAGAGGUUAGUUUAUCACUCCUAGGAUAGUAAAGGAGAGAUAUGAGAGGUUAGUUUAUCACUCCUAGGAUAGUAAAGGAGAGAUAUGAGAGGUUAGUUUAUCACCCCUAGGAUAGUAAAGGAGAGAUAUGAGAGGUUAGUUUAUCACCCCUAGGAUAGUAAAGGAGAGAUAUGAGAGGUUAGUUUAUCACUCCUAGGAUAGUAAAGGAGAGAUAUGAGAGGUUAGUUUAUCACUCCUAGGAUAGUAAAGGAGAGAUAUGAGAGGUUAGUUUAUCACUCCUAGGAUAGUAAAGGAGAGAUAUGAGAGGUUAGUUUAUCACUCCUAGGAUAGUAAAGGAGAGAUAUGAGAGGUUAGUUUAUCACUCCUAGGAUAGUAAAGGAGAGAUAUGAGAGGUUAGUUUAUCACUCCUAGGAUAGUAAAGGAGAGAUAUGAGAGGUUAGUUUAUCACCCCUAGGAUAGUAAAGGAGAGAUAUGAGAGGUUAGUUUAUCACUCCUAGGAUAGUAAAGGAGAGAUAUGAGAGGUUAGUUUAUCACCCCUAGGAUAGUAAAGGUCGUUAUCAGAAACGCAAUACGGUGCAGACCGUUCAAUUAGUCUGCUGGGGUCAAGAACCAGCUCUGCUAAAACCAUUGACAACAACGUGCCGUUUCCAAGGAAUUGUUAAAUAAAUGUUCCAACUAUUUGGUUGUAAUAUCAUCACGUUCUGAAGAGCACAGUCACAACUACACAUUUAUCUCUAUCAUCAGAGGUAUACAGCAAAGUACUGUUUUAGGAUCAGUAAACAUCAGUAAACAUGUAUUUUCAGAUACAUGAAGGUAUCCUAUUAAUUUAGCUAGCUAAGCAACGUGUCAUUUAGCUAGCUAAGCAACGUGUCAUUUAGCUAGCUAAGCAACGUGUCAUUUAGCUAGCUAAGCAACGUGUCAUUUAGCUAGCUAAGCAAACGUGUCAUUUAGCUAGCUAAGCAACCGUCUCAUUUAGCUAGCUAAGCAAACGUGUCAUUUAGCUAGCUAAGCAAUGUGUCAUUUAGCUAGCUAAGCAACGUGUCAUUUAGCUAGCUAAGC